UCCCAGAUAGCUCAGUGGGUAGAGCCUGAGACUCUUAAUCUCAGGGAUGUGGGUUCGAGCAUUGCAAUGGGUA